rnacentral:rRNA from 1 species
AGAGUUUGAUCAUGGCUCAGGAUGAACGCUAGCUACAGGCUUAACACAUGCAAGUCGAGGGGCAGCAUCAUCAAAGCUUGCUUUGAUGGAUGGCGACCGGCGCACGGGUGAGUAACACGUAUCCAACCUGCCGACAACACUGGGAUAGCCUUUCGAAAGAAAGAUUAAUACCGGAUGGUAUAGUUUUCCCGCAUGGGAUGAUUAUUAAAGAAUUUCGGUUGUCGAUGGGGAUGCGUUCCAUUAGGCAGUUGGCGGGGUAACGGCCCACCAAACCUACGAUGGAUAGGGGUUCUGAGAGGAAGGUCCCCCACAUUGGAACUGAGACACGGUCCAAACUCCUACGGGAGGCAGCAGUGAGGAAUAUUGGUCAAUGGACGAGAGUCUGAACCAGCCAAGUAGCGUGAAGGACGACUGCCCUAUGGGUUGUAAACUUCUUUUAUACGGGAAUAAAGUGAGCCACGUGUGGCUUUUUGUAUGUACCGUAUGAAUAAGGAUCGGCUAACUCCGUGCCAGCAGCCGCGGUAAUACGGAGGAUCCGAGCGUUAUCCGG